CUCUGGGGGAAAGUUUAGUUCAGAAUUCAGUGCAGCAGGUCCCUGAUGGCUCAGGAGCUAUUUUGGGUCUGCUGAAAGGCAUGAGGAUGCUGGAAUUAAGUGUUAUUAUCCUCAUCCUUCAAAUCUGUCAUGCAGCUCUGCUCAGAGUUGGGUGUUUCAUUGGGUUUGGGAUGUGCUGCUUGCUGGGGCCCCCCCUUCCCUGGGGCAAUCCCAGCAGAGUCCAGAGGAUUCCUGCAGUCCCUGGCUGCUUCUGCUGCUGGAUUUUCACACGCAGCUGAAAAUUUGAGGCAGCAUCAGGGCAGGGUGGAGUCCCCAUGCUGCAGGGGUUUGAAGUGUGGAUGUGGCACUUGGGGACAUCAGAGGUGGCCUGGGCAGGACUGGGGUGGUUGGGCUUGGUGUUCCUUGGGGGCUUUUCCACCCAGAAUUAUUUUAUUUUGUGAUUCUGUUAUCUUGUGAUUCUGUGAUUUUGUGACUCUGUGAUUUGUGAUUCUGUUAUCUUGUGACUCUGUGAUUUUGUGACUCUGUGAUCUUGUGAUUCAUCUUAUGAUUCUGUGAUUUUGUGAUUCCCUUAUCUUAUGAUUCUAUGAUUCUGUGAUUCAUGAUUCUAUGAUUUUGUGAUUCUCUUAUCUUGUGAUUCUAUGAUUUUAUUAUUCUGUGAUUUUGUGAUUCUGUUAUCUUGUGAUUCUGCAAUUUUGUGAUUCUCUUAUCCUGUGAUUCUGCUAUCGUGUGAUUCUCUGUGAGCUUUGCUUUUGUCUUGGAGCUGCUGGAUCCCCAGGAGUGGAAUUCUCAGGGUGUCCCCAAGCACACGUGGGUGGGGUUUUGGGGGGUUUUUUUGGGUCCUGUGACUUCCAGGAGCUCCUGCUUCUUCUGGACCACAGCCAGGCAGGAAUUCCCUGCUGGGAUGGGGACAGCAGCAGGGAGAGGAGGAAUCCAAACCCAGCUGCUCCUGCAGCUCCUGCUCCUCCACUGCUCUGCCUGACUCUGCUAAAUCAUUACUGAAUAGGAUAAUGAGCCUUAAUCAGCCUCAUCUCCUCUCCCUCCAGGCUUCAUCUGCUCAGGAGCCUCUGUCUGCACAGGGAACAGCUCCAUCCUCCCCUGGGGGAUCCCAUGGGUGCAGGGGGGUCCCUUGGGAGCAGGGAGAGGAGGGCAGAGGCUGCAGGAGUUAAUGAAUAAUCCAGGGGAAGAGCUGCUGGGCCAUUACUCAGCUCUGAGAGGAGCCUGCCAAUACUUGGGGUGUAAAAGAUGAUCAGGGAGGGAGGAUGGGGGAGCCAGGGCUGUAAUUCCAACCUGGAAAUGCCAUCUCCAUUGGAUUUUAUUUUUUUUUUUUCUUGUCUGCUGGGUACAGGUUUGGUGAUUUUUUUUGUUUGUUUUUUUGUUUUUUUGUUGUUUUUUUUUUGCUCCUGAGUACAGAGAAAAUCAAUAAAGCCUCAUGUGAUGGGCAGAGCAUCCCUUGGAUUUAAACAAACAGUGGCUAAAGUGCCCUUUAAAAGCCUUUCCAUGGGUGCCAGUGCUGACCCCUCAUCCCACAGAACCAGCACAGCCAAAAUCCCUCUCUGAGCUCCAGGAUUUUGUGGCUCUCACUUUUUUUUUUUUUUUUUUUUUUUUUUUUGGGGGGGGGGGGGGGGGGGGGGGGGGGGGGUUUUUUUUUUUUUUUUUUUUUUUUUUUUGGGAAUAAUUUGGGCUCUGCUUUGCUCUGCCCCGAGGCUCCCCUCAGCAGGGUGAGGAUCUGCAGAUCUCAGAGCAGCAGUCAGGAUGCUCCUGGAGGGAGCUGAGCCCCCCGACCCCCUCCAAACAGAAUUUCUUGGUGCUCCUGCCCUUUUCUGGCUGUGCAGCUCAUGGCUCCAGGGCUCUUUGGGAAUAUGGGUCGGGACUGGAUGUUUUGUACAGUGAAUUUUGGGCUAUUUUGGGUAAGAACUCUUGGGAAGGCUUUGAGAGCUGGAUAAACAGCCCUGAGGAUCCCUCCUGCCCAGAGCUGGUGCCUGGCUCAGAAUGUGCCUUCAGGAUGAAUAUUUUGCCUUCUAAAUCCAUACAAAUCCCAUUUUUGGGAGGGAAAGCUGGAAAUUGUGCAUGGAUGGGGGGGGGGGGGGGGGGGGGGGGGGGGGGGGGGGGGGGGGGGGGGGGGGGGGGGGGGGGGGGGGGGGGG
rnacentral:lncRNA from 12 species